UGUGACUCUCUCCUGUCAGUUGUAUUGUGAUCUAAUCUCUUGUGAUUCUUUGGUCCGUGAUGAAGUUCAGCUGAUCUGGGUGAAUCAGUUUGGUGUGAAUCUACAGACAGACUCCAGAUAUCAGAUCUCAUUCUCCUCAGAACACUGUAACAUCUCUCUGACUACAAAACUCCAGAAUGAAGAUCUCAACAGAGAGUGGAGAUGUGAGGUUACUCAGAGAAAUCAACCGAAGACCUCGGUCACGUAUACUGUCAAGUAUUCAGCUGCAGUCGAUUCAACAAAACCGCUCCCAGUCAAGAAUAAACCAAGACAAACUACACGACCAGCUGCAGUCGAUUCAACAAAACCGAUUCCAGUCAGCAGCUCCGAGAAGAAACCAAGACAAACUAAACCAGCA